AAUAUAUCCGGAAGCAACUGUCAUGGCUGCUGUCAGUGAGGGCCCGUAAUGGAGAUCGAGUCAAGGGUUGCCCAGGGACACUUAAGAGCCUUCGGCUUCAAGGAGGCCUCUCAAAGGACAAAGGAUGAGACUGCCUGGCGGCAGAGUGCCCCCCACAAUCGUAGGAACUGUGUCGCCGCGCUUCCCGUUAACUUGCCGCUAAGUUUUUCUAGAAAAGUCGCCCUUCUUGCCAGGGGUGUCCUAUAGACUUUGUCAUGGAGUGAAACAGAAACAAAUGGAUUCCCAAGAGCUUUGAAUGAAGACAUUUAAGAUUACUUCUAGUAACCUUGCUUGUCAAACCCAUGGUGGAUGUAAUUAACCAUCUGUGCUCGUAAAUCAGGAAACUGCAAAACUGUGAGAACACUCCGACGUCAAUUGAGGUGAUAUGGGGGCUGAAAUGUGAUUAGAGGAAACCUAAUCAAUUGUAUUUUAACCUCUUUGGUGGAUUAUCACAAAAGAGGUGGAUGGUAACCCUAGGACAGUGAGACUGUCCACUUUUCUGAGACUGGAGAUCAAUCUCUUAAUAGUAAAACGUAAAUAUUUUUAAAACUUCA
rnacentral:lncRNA from 1 species